UCCAGCACUAAGUCAGCUGUCCAGAUGUGUUGUAUCUGGGUCAGUGUUACAGUGCUGGGAGAGAAAGGUUCUGUAUCUGGGCUUGGUGCAGCAGGUUCUGUUUUAGAGUCUGCUUACACUGAGCUGCUGCAGAGCCAGGCCCAACGAGAGUGGACUGUCCUGGUAUGUUUGGGCAGGCCUAGUCAUAGGUCAUACAGU